UACGUAGGGGGCAAGCGUUUGUCCGGAUUUAUUGGGCGUAAAGAGCUCGUAGGUGGUUCGGUAAGUCGGAUGUGAAAUCUCCAGGCUCAACCUGGAGGGGUCAUUCGAUACUGCCGUGACUAGAGUUCGGUAGGGGAGUGUGGAAUUCCUGGUGGAGCGGUGGAAUGCGCAGAUAUCAGGAGGAACACCUAUAGCGAAGGCAGCUUGCUGGGACGAUACUGACGCUAAGGCUCGAAAGCGUGGGGAGCGAACAGG
rnacentral:rRNA from 1 species